AUCAUGGCUCAGGAUGAACGCUGGCGAGAUGCCUUACACAUGCAAGUCAUACGAGAAUUUUUAAUUCAAGUGGCGGACGGGUGAGUAACACGUAAGAAUUUGCCUUUAGGAGGGGGACAACAACUGGAAACGGUUGCUAAUACCCCAUAUGCUUUCGAGUGAAACGGAAUUUUCCGCCUAAAGAGAAGCUUGCGGCUGAUUAGCUUGUUGGUGAGGUAAUGGCUUACCAAGGCGACGAUCAGUAUCUGGUUUGAGAGGAUGAUCAGACACACUGGAACUGAGACACGGUCCAGACUCCUACGGGAGGCAGCAGUGGGGAAUUUUCCGCAAUGGGCGAAAGCCUGACGGAGCAAUCUCGCGUGAGGGAUGACGGCCUAUGGGUUGUAAACCUCUUUUUUCAGGGAGGAAUAAAUGACGUGUACCUGAAGAAUAAGCAUCGGCUAACUCCGUGCCAGCAGCCGCGGUAAGACGGAGGAUGCAAGUGUUAUCCGGAAUCACUGGGCGUAAAGCGUCUGUAGGUGGUUUGAUAAGUCAACUGUUAAAUCUUGAAGCUCAACUUCAAAAUCGCAGUCGAAACUAUCAGACUAGAGUAUAGUAGGGGUAAAGGAAUUCCA
rnacentral:rRNA from 1 species